UGCGUAGGCGGUUAGAUAAGUCAGAGGUGAAAGCCCGCAGCUUAACUGUGGAAUUGCCUUUGAUACUGCUUAACUUGAAUCAGGUUGAGGUUGGCGGAAUGUGACAUGUAGCGGUGAAAUGCAUAGAUAUGUCAUAGAACACCAAUUGCGAAGGCAGCUAACUAGACCUGUAUUGACGCUGAGGCACGAAAGCGUGGGGAGCGAACAGGAUUAGAUACCCUGGUAGUCC
rnacentral:rRNA from 1 species